rnacentral:snRNA from 1 species
AGAUGUGAGGGUGAUCUGGCUGUGACAUCAGUCACCCCAUUGAUUGCCAGGGUUGAUUUGGCUGGCUAGGCGGGUGUCCCCUUCCUCCCUCAGCACUCCAUGUGUGUCCCUCCUGAAGCUGCAUGCUCAGUCCAAGAGGACGGCCUUCCCCAAAUAGAGAAGGAUCGUCAGUUUCCC